rnacentral:sRNA from 1 species
UAAAUAGGAUAUGGUCUAAGUCUCUAGACUUCCCUAUGAUAAUUGCAAUGAUUUCCCCAUCUUGAGAUUCUAAUUUGUUUGAAGUAUAUAAUCCUAUGCUUAUAUAUAGAUUAUCCA